rfam:Triticum aestivum genome assembly, contig: Triticum_aestivum_CS42_TGACv1_scaffold_112793_2AS
UACACACUCCCUCCAUUCAGAAAUGCUUGUCAUCAAAAUAAAUAAAAUGGAAUGUAUCUAUACGUAUUUUAGUUUUAGAUACAUCCCUUUUUAUCCAUUUUGAUGACAAGUAUUUUCGGACGGAGGGAGUAUAUU